rnacentral:rRNA from 1 species
UGCAUUCACCGAAAGAAGCUUAGUGGCGAACGGGUGAGUAACACGUAGGCAACCUGCCCAAAAGAGGGGGAUAACACUUGGAAACAGGUGCUAAUACCGCAUAACCAUGAACACCGCAUGAUGUUCAUGUAAAAGACGGCUUUUGCUGUCACUUUUGGAUGGGCCUGCGGCGUAUUAACUUGUUGGUGGGGUAACGGCCUACCAAGGUGAUGAUACGUAGCCGAACUGAGAGGUUGAUCGGCCACAUUGGGACUGAGACACGGCCCAAACUCCUACGGGAGGCAGCAGUAGGGAAUCUUCCACAAUGGACGAAAGUCUGAUGGAGCAACGCCGCGUGAAUGAAGAAGGCCUUCGGGUCGUAAAAUUCUGUUGUCAGAGAAGAACGUGCGUGAGAGUAACUGUUCACGUAUUGACGGUAUCUGACCAGAAAGCCACGGCUAACUACGUGCCAGCAGCCGCGGUAAUACGUAGGUGGCGAGCGUUGUCCGGAUUUAUUGGGCGUAAAGGGAACGCAGGCGGUCUUUUAAGUCUGAUGUGAAAGCCUUCGGCUUAACNGAAGUAGNGCA